ensembl:lncRNA
CCACCCCGCCCCCUGCGGGGCUUCUCCCAUGACCAGCCCCUGAGCGCUGGGCGUCCGAGCAGCCUCCCUUCCCUCCUCAGCGCCUCCGUCUGCUCUCGUUCCUCUGCUCCUCUCCUUCCUCACUGUAGGUCUCAUGCUUCCUGCCUCGCCCCCUCCCUCUCUCUCCCCCCAUCCCCGUGUCUGUCCCUCUUUGUCUUCCUCUGAGACAGUUUGUGUCACUUCACCAGCAGCUUGAACAGGGCCCGAGCAGGGGGGUGCGGCCUGCCCUUGUUCCACGGUCACCUUCUCCCGUCUUCACAGCCGAGGACCCCAAAAAAAACACUAAGCGCUCUGGGCCUGGCUUCCUGGGGAAGCCAAGCAGCCCUGAGUUGACUGCAGAGCAACCCCUCGUACCCGGGUCCCUGGCAGGGGCCGCCUCCCCAAGAUGGUCACUGCCCUGCUGAGGCCGCGGCUGCCCCCCGAUACCUGCCAUCCUCCUGGUCUUUUCACUGAGCUUCCAGGCCAGCGUCACUGACGGCCCCCUGUGCUGGCCGCUGGGGUACACUCCUCCAGCCUGGAUAGAGGUGGCGUUCCCUCCGGGUGGGGGUCCCCACACCUCCACUGAAGAGAAGCGAGAUCCACGGGAGGCGGAUGUUGAUGGGGUGGGUCCCCCACCAGCACCCCAGCUCUCCCCCCCACCCCACCCCCCGCCGGGGCCUGGCUGCACACCCGCCUGUGCCCGCAGGAGGCGGCCCUGCUCCAGCCCAGCUGCAGCUCCUGCCCACACACUCCCCCCAGCAUACACCCCAAGAGCACUGAACUCACUUUACCUGGGGCCUCCUCGCCCCUCUCCCUCACCUGGAGGCAAGUGAGGGCCCAGAGGGGCCAGGGAUGGCCGCAGAGCUUCGCCCCAGUUCCCUGGGCUGGGCCAGAUCUCUGGGUGGGCGGGCGGUGUGGUCCUGCGAACCCAGCCCAGCACCUGUUCACAGAUCCUGCACAUCUGUGACCCCCAUUUGUUGCAACAGCUCUGCUGAGCUCCCCUUUCUUUGUAUUUGGCCCAGCCGGCCGCCUGGAACUCUCCCUGCACCGCCUUGGGUGACCAGGACCUCCAGGCCCAGCCCCGCUCCUUGCCCUGUCUGUCCCCCCAGUGAUGAGCACUUGCCACCUCCACCUCGGGAUGGGGCCCAGCUUGGAGGCUGGCCCAGUGGAGAGCAGAGCCUGCCCAGGCUGCCUUUCCAGAGGGAAGUGGACCUGGAGAGCGGCACCAUCUUCACAAAGGUUCAGGAUAAAUGAGUCCAAAGUUUAGACUAAAAAAGAAGAAAGCAACCAUGAGAGAAUUAGAAGAUACUGUCUUCUGAAACCUGUAAAGGUUUAUUUUUAAAUAAAGGAAGAAAUGGGGCCCCAGGCUGGUAAUAUCCCUGGGGAGCCUGGAAGACGCAGACACAAAACUUUUCUGAAGGACAAACACAGGCAGUAUAGAACUUCCACAAAAUGAUAAACGGGAAGAAGCAACCUGCAUGAAAAUGAACAGGACAACCAGUGAAAUUAGAGCCCCAGGACAUCAAGAAAUACAGCUGUUGGUUACAGUAUAGGAAACAGGGUUUUUUUUGUUUUUUGUUUGUUUUACUUUGCCUGCGGUGGGUCUUAGUUGUGGCUUGUGGGAUCUUGUUCCCUGACCAGGGAUUGAACCUGUGUUCCCUGCAUUGGGAGGGCUGAGUCUUACCCACUGGACCACCAGGGGAGCCCCCAAAUAAGUUUUAUAUCAUUUAAAAAUAUAUAAAGAUUUGAAAAUUAUACACAAGAUACAGUUUGCCUUUUAAGGGAAAAAAAUGAUAAACAUUUUUAAAGAAAUACUUGGAACUUCCAGAGAAAGAAACUCAGUUAAAAACAUCAGACACAGCCAAAGAGAUCAUUUUUUGCACCUCAAAAAAAGAUCUAUAGAAAUCAUUAAAAAAUAAAAAAAGCACAGGAAAACCAAAAAUACGGAAAGGAAGAAUAACAAUACAAAUUCUCAAAUACUGCAGAAGGGAGUAGAAGUUGAUAAAAUCAACUUGAAAAACAAUUUGGCAAAACGUCAUAACGUUAACAUACACCCAUGGAAGCUGUGAGGUGUCACCCAGGCUCCACCCUCAGAAUCUCUGAGGUCCUUGACUGCCUGGCUCAUAGCUGAGUUCCAUCCCUGAGGUCCUUGACUGCCUGGCUCAUAGCUGAGUUCCAUCCCUGAGGUCCAUGACUGCCUGGCUCAUAGCUGAGUCCCUCAGGAAGUGGCCUGUAGUGAAGGGAGCCUCCUUGCCCAGGAUGAGAACAUCUCCUCAGGAGCAGCCCGUAGCCCACGUGUAGGCCAGUGCAAGCCCCACUGCCUCAAUUUGAGACGACGCAAAGAAUCGUCCCAGCUCCUAAGUGGAAGCUUCUGUCAUAACUACAUCAUGGUUUAACUUCUCUCUCUACCCAGUCCUGCCUCUUCACAAAGGUUCAGGAUAAAUGAGUCCAAAGUUUAGACUAAAAAGAAGAAAGCAACCAUGAGAGAAUUAGAAGAUACUGUCUUCUGAAACCUGUAAAGGUUUAUUUUUAAAUAAAGGAAGAAAUGGGGCCCCAGGCUGGUAAUAUCCCUGGGGAGCCUGGAAGACGCAGACACAAAACUUUUCUGAAGGACAAACACAGGCAGUAUAGAACUUCCACAAAAUGAUAAACGGAAGAAGCAACCUGCAUGAAAAUGAACAGGACAACCAGUGAAAUUAGAGCCCCAGGACAUCAAGAAAUACAGCUGUUGGUUACAGUAUAGGAAACAGGGUUUUUUUUGUUUUUUGUUUGUUUUACUUUGCCUGCGGUGGGUCUUAGUUGUGGCUUGUGGGAUCUUGUUCCCUGACCAGGGAUUGAACCUGUGUUCCCUGCAUUGGGAGGGCUGAGUCUUACCCACUGGACCACCAGGGGAGCCCCCAAAUAAGUUUUAUAUCAUUUAAAAAUAUAUAAAGAUUUGAAAAUUAUACACAAGAUACAGUUUGCCUUUUAAGGGAAAAAAAUGAUAAACAUUUUUAAAGAAAUACUUGGAACUUCCAGAGAAAGAAACUCAGUUAAAAACAUCAGACACAGCCAAAGAGAUCAUUUUUUGCACCUCAAAAAAAGAUCUAUAGAAAUCAUUAAAAAAUAAAAAAAGCACAGGAAAACCAAAAAUACGGAAAGGAAGAAUAACAAUACAAAUUCUCAAAUACUGCAGAAGGAGUAGAAGUUGAU